rnacentral:rRNA from 1 species
UUGAACGCUGGCGGUAUGCUUUACACAUGCAAGUCGAACGGCAGCACGGGGGCAACCCUGGUGGCGAGUGGCGAACGGGUGAGUAACAUAUCGGAACAUAUCCGGAAGUGGGGGAUAGCUCGGCGAAAGCCGGAUUAAUACCGCAUAUGCCCUGAGGGGGAAAGGGGGGGAUCGCAAGACCUCUCGCUUUCGGAGUGGCCGAUAUCAGAUUAGCUAGUUGGUGGGGUAAAGGCUCACCAAGGCGACGAUCUGUAGCUGGUCUGAGAGGACGACCAGCCACACUGGAACUGAGACACGGUCCAGACUCCUACGGGAGGCAGCAGUGGGGAAUUUUGGACAAUGGGCGCAAGCCUGAUCCAGCCAUACCGCGUGAGUGAAGAAGGCCUUCGGGUUGUAAAGCUCUUUCAGCCGGAAAGAAAACGCAUCCCCUAAUACGGGGUGUGGAUGACGGUACCGGAAGAAGAAGCACCGGCUAACUACGUGCCAGCAGCCGCGGUAAUA